CAAAAGCCAUCUAAAUUUCACUUAGCCACUCGCACAAAAAUUGUUGCUAAUAUGUUACUUUUUAAGAUCCUUUCAGACGGGUGGUUAUCAGCGGAAUGGAUGCAAGUACCAUGUAUUGUUCAGAGUAUAAAGUACUAUUCCGUUUUAGUGGUUGCUCGGUGGAAACGAUUCAGUGUCUGCCUGGUUGACUAAAGCUUUUCACAGAUACAACUCCACACGCGUGUGCUUAAAUCAGGUGCAGUGUGAUGCGAAAUUUUUAGAAAUGGGUUAGAAGUUAAGCCAUACGGUUCUGCAUCGAAGGGCCCUUAAGGUUGCUGAAGCACAUGUCGUUCAAGUCGCAUUAACUAACACGGUGUUCUAAAUUUUAUGUCAUGGCGCCAUCGUGUUGUCGUACUUGAAACGUAACACACUUACGUAAAUGAAAAGGAGGAAAGACGCUAUUCACAGGGGCUCUGCCCGUCGUUCGUCACCUUGAUUCACGAAUAGCAGGUCGACUAUCAAAGAAUACUGUAUGGGGUUGGCGCUAUUUUUUGUGUUCCGUUAUCGAUUCGCCGUAGUUCCACAUAAGAAAAAAGUGUGACCUGCCAUCGAAGCUUGAGAGAGACCACAGAAUCAGCAUUGCGCCCGGUAUCAAUCAAAGAACAUUUUAUGGAAGUUGGUAAUAUCGCCUGAGACAGAGACACUGUCCCAAAUUUAUUACAUCAGUCCUGAUUGUAUCAUAUGGAGCAUGUGAUAAGCCACCAGACGUGGUUUCGAAAACAAUGACGCAAUGAACCAACACUUAGAGCAGCAUCUAUAAUAACAGAACCUAA